CCUACGGGGUGCAGCAGUGGGGGAUAUUGCACAAUGGGGGAAACCCUGAUGCAGCGACGCCGCGUGUAGGAAGACGGUCCUCUGGAUUGUAAACUACUGUCCCCAGGGACGAAGAUGACGGUACCUGGGGAGGAAGCUCCGGCUAACUACGUGCCAGCAGCCGCGGUAAUACGCAGGGAGCGAGCGUUGUCCGGAAUUACUGGGUGUAAGGGGAGCGUAGGCGGGGAUGCAAGUUGGGUGUUAAAUCUACCGGCUCAACUGGUAGUCGCACUCGAAACUGCAGCUCUUGAGUGAAGUAGAGGCAGGCGGAAUUCCUGGUGUAGCGGUGAAAUGCGUAGAUAUUAGGAGGAACACCAGUGGCGAAGGCGGCCUGCUGGGCUUUUACUGACGCUGAGGCUCGAAAGCGUGGGGAGCAAACAGGAUUAGAUACCCGAGUAGUC
rnacentral:rRNA from 1 species